rnacentral:rRNA from 1 species
UCGCUCCUACCGAUUGGGUGUGCUGGUGAAGUGUUCGGAUUGGUUUUAGUUGAUGGCAACAUCGGCUUUUACUGAGAAGAUCAUUAAACCCUCCCACCUAGAGGAAGGAG